rnacentral:sRNA from 1 species
UUCUUUAAGAAGAAAAAAGUUAAUUAUUUUCUGACACGUGUCAACAUUCGAUCGAUAGACUUGACACGUGGCAUAAUCCUAAGAGUUAGUAACUUUUUCUAAAAAGUGUCUACUUCUCUAAUAAGCCCUUUAUUUUAUUGUACCCAUUUAAUCUUAUUGAUGAUAUUUGAAGUCUAAAUAGUAACCUACACACUUUUUCCUUAUUAUAAUUUAGUAUUUAGAAGAAAAAGACAAAUUUUUAUCUUACACAUUCAAUUUUGUAAUACAAUUUAACUAUAUAUUUCAUAAAAAACUCGAUUUUAAUUCUACACACUUCAUCUUACUUGAUAAUGAUUCAUGUCAAAAUAAUAUUUAUAUGAGAUCAAAUCUAUAUCUUAGUUAAUAUUAAAAAUUAUUAACAAUUAACAAAACAUAAUU